rnacentral:rRNA from 1 species
AGUGAACGCUGGCGGUAGGCCUAACACAUGCAAGUCGAACGGCAGCACAGUAAGAGCUUGCUCUUACGGGUGGCGAGUGGCGGACGGGUGAGGAAUACAUCGGAAUCUACUUUUUCGUGGGGGAUAACGUAGGGAAACUUACGCUAAUACCGCAUACGACCUACGGGUGAAAGCAGGGGAUCUUCGGACCUUGCGCGAUUGAAUGAGCCGAUGUCGGAUUAGCUAGUUGGCGGGGUAAAGGCCCACCAAGGCGACGAUCCGUAGCUGGUCUGAAAGGAUGAUCAGCCACACUGGAACUGAGACACGGUCCAGACUCCUACGGGAGGCAGCAGUGGGGAAUAUUGGACAAUGGGCGCAAGCCUGAUCCAGCCAUACCGCGUGGGUCAAGAAGGCCUUCGGGUUGUAAAGCCCUUUUGUUGGGAAAGAAAAGCAGCAGGUUAAUACCCCGCUGUUCUGACGGUACCCAAAGAAUAAGCACCGGCUAACUUCGU